UCCAUACUCCCUCCGUCCAAAAAUACUUGUCAUAGAAAUGGAUACAAAUAGAUGUAUCUAGAAUUAAAAUACAUCUAUAUACAUCCAUUCCUCGGACAAGUAUUUCCGGGCGAAGGGAGUACUUA
rnacentral:pre_miRNA from 1 species